AUGCUUCUGAAUCCAUUUGUUGUUCCCUGCUCACUAUGUUUCCGACUAGAUAACUUUAGCCACCAAAAUUUCUGGUUAUUCAGACCACAAUUUUCAUCGGUACAAUGCAGAAAGGUGUGUGUUGAUGGUCCCAUUAUAAAGGAAAGUGUCAAAAAGAGCCUUUCAUGCUUAUCUAAAGACUACACUGAUAUUCUUCACAUAAACUGGGUAGUGUUUAUUUCAAAGAUUAUUUUUGCUCAGAAUAAUUUUCACAUCUUGUUCCAGAUUGAUUCAUACACAAUCAUAUUUCACAUUUUGCAUUUCCUUACUGAACUUGAAAAUUGUAAAUCUGAGUUCUCUUUUCCAUCCUCUGUGAGUCCUUUUGUCGUCACUGUUUUCAGCACACAUUCUUAG
rnacentral:rRNA from 1 species